rnacentral:rRNA from 1 species
CAAUAGCGUAUAUUAAAGUUGUUGCGGUAAAAAAGCUCGUAGUUGGAUUUCUGUUGAGAGCGACCGGUCCAUACCAUGUAUGCGUAUCUGGCUUGCUCUCGGCAUCCUCUCGAUAGACGUUACUGCGCUUGAUUGCGUGGUGCGGAUCUCGGGACUUUUACUUUGAGGAAAUUAGAGGGUUCACGGCAGGCUUUCGCCAGAAUACAUUAGCAUGGAAUAAUACUAUAGGAUCUUGGUUCUAUUUUGUUGGUUUCUAGAAUUGAGAUAAUGAUUAAUAGGGACAAUUGGGGGCAUUCGUAUCAACACGUCAGAGGUGGAAUUCUUGGAUUGUGUUGCGACGAACUACUGCGAAAGCAUUUGCCAAGGAUGUUUUCAUUGA